rnacentral:rRNA from 1 species
GACGAACGCUGGCGGCGUGCUUAACACAUGCAAGUCGAACGGAAAGGCCCUGCUUUUGUGGGGUGCUCGAGUGGCGAACGGGUGAGUAACACGUGAGUAACCUGCCCUUGACUUUGGGAUAACUUCAGGAAACUGGGGCUAAUACCGGAUAGGAGCUCCUGCUGCAUGGUGGGGGUUGGAAAGUUUCGGCGGUUGGGGAUGGACUCGCGGCUUAUCAGCUUGUUGGUGGGGUAGUGGCUUACCAAGGCUUUGACGGGUAGCCGGCCUGAGAGGGUGACCGGGCAGGUCGGGAAUGAGAGCCGGCCCAGAGGCGGAAGGGAGGAAGCGGGGGGAACGAGAGGCCGCAGGGGGGAAAGCGGGAGCAGGGACGCGGAGGGCGGGGAGGGGUCCGUCGGGAUAUAAAGGGAUGGCGCGGGGGAGGAGGCGGGAGGGAGGGUAAGGAGCAAAGAAGCCCGGGCUACCUAGGUGCGAGGAGCCGAGGUAAGGGACGGAAGCAGUAGGAGGCGG